UCCGUAGGCGGGUAAUUAAGUCAGAGGUGAAAUCCCACAGCUUAACUGUGGAACUGCCUUAGAUACUGGUUAUCUUGAGUUUUAGUGAAGUAGAUAGAAUGUGUAGUGUAGCGGUGAAAUGCAUAGAUAUUACACAGAAUACCGAUUGCGAAGGCAGUCUACUAACUAACAACUGACGCUAAUGGACGAAAGCAUGGGGAGCGAACAGGAUUAGAUACCCUGGUAGUCC
rnacentral:rRNA from 1 species